rnacentral:rRNA from 1 species
CAACUGUUAAAUCUUGAAGCUCAGCUUCAAAAUCGCAGUCGAAACUAUUAGACUAGAGUAUAGUAGGGGUAAAGGGAAUUUCCAGUGGAGCGGUGAAAUGCGUAGAGAUUGGAAAGAACACCGAUGGCGAAGGCACUUUACUGGGCUAUUACUGACACUCGGAGACGAAAGCUAGGGUAGCAAAUGGGAUUAGAUACCCCAGUAGUCCUAGCUGUAAACAAUGGAUACUAGAUGCUGGGCAGAUCGACCUGUUCAGUAUUAAAGCUAACGCGUUAAGUAUCCCGCCUGGGAAGUAUGCGCGCAAGCGUGAAACUCAAAGGAAUUGACGGGGGCCCGCACAAGCGGUGGAGCAUGUGGUUUAAUUCGAUGCAACGCGAAGAACCUUACCAGGGUUUGACAUGAUACGAAUUUUCUUGAAAGAGAAAAGUGCCGUUUGGAACGUAUACACAGGUGGUGCAUGGCUGUCGUCAGCUCGUGUCGUGAGA